GACGAACGCUGGCGGCGUGCUUAACACAUGCAAGUCGAACGGAAAGGCCCUGCUUUUGUGGGGUGCUCGAGUGGCGAACGGGUGAGUAACACGUGAGUAACCUGCCCUUAACUUUGGGAUAACUUCAGGAAACUGGGGCUAAUACCGGAUAGGAGCUCCUGCUGCAUGGUGGGGGUUGGAAAGUUUCGGCGGUUGGGGAUGGACUCGCGGCUUAUCAGCUUGUUGGUGGGGUAGUGGCUUACCAAGGCUUUGACGGGUAGCCGGCCUGAGAGGGGGACCGGCCACAUUGGGACUGAGAUACGGCCCAGACUCCUACGGGAGGCAGCAGUGGGGAAUAUUGCACAAUGGGCGGAAGCCUGAUGCAGCAACGCCGCGUGCGGGAUGACGGCCUUCGGGUUGUAAACCGCUUUCGCCUGUGACGAAGCGUGAGUGACGGUAAUGGGUAAAGAAGCACCGGCUAACUACGUG
rnacentral:rRNA from 1 species